GUUUAGAAUCCGGAGGCCGGGGUGGCCAGGCCCCCCGGGUUUAGAAUCCGGAGGCCGGGGUGGCCAGGCCCCCCACGUUUAGAAUCCGGAGGCCGGGGUGGCCAGGCCCCCGGGUUUAGAAUCCGGAGGCUGGGAUGGCCAGGCCCCCGGGUUUAGAAUCCUGCUGAGGCCACGGAGAGGCUCAGGCCGUUUUUGCGUUUCCCAUCUCACCUGUGCUGGUUCCCGUCUCCAGGGAUGGUCCUGCCUCCUGUCCUUGGGCCCUCCCAGCUGCUUCCUUUGCUCCUGCGCUGAGGAAGGCUUUUGCCCCCCAGUGGGGCAGCAUGGGCCCUCCCUGUUGCCGGCAUCGUUAUUUUCUCCCAGCUCCUGAUGGGUCCCUUGGGUUGUGCUUCGGGGCGGGGCAGGCGGGUGUGACUGCACUGCGCCCGUCCAGCCUCCCACCCGCACCUCCUGCCCUUCCCGAGCCCCCUCCUCUGUCAUUUCUCCCCCUGGAGUUCCUCACGCACAGGGCUUUGUCCUAAGUGGUCGCCACACGCCGUUUUAAGAGAAACCUGAGCGUUGGGGUGAGCGUCGGACCUGGGGGAGGGGGGCCGGGCAGGGGCCGAGUCCAGGCACGUGGGUGGCGCCCUCACCCACCCUGUCCCCCCAGGAAGCAGGUCCUGGGGACCAAGGUGGACGCGGAGCGUGACGGCGUGAAGGUGCCCACCACGCUGGCCGAGUACUGCGUGAAGACCAAGGCGCCGGCGCCCGACGAGGGCUCAGACCUCUUCUACGACGACUACUACGAGGACGGCGAGGUGGAGGAGGAGGCCGACAGCUGCUUCGGGGACGAUGAGGAUGACUCUGGCACGGAGGAGUCCUGACACCACCAGAAUAAACUUGCCGAGUUUACCUCACUAGGGCCGGACCCGUGGCUCCUUAGACGACAGACUACCUCACGGAGGUUUUGUGCUGGUCCCCGUCUCCUCUGGUUGUUUCGUUUUGGCUUUUUCUCCCUCCCCAUGUCUGUUCUGGGUUUUCACGUGCUUCAGAGAAGAGGGGCUGCCCCACCGCCACUCACGUCACUCGGGGCUCGGUGGACGGGCCCAGGGUGGGAGCGGCCGGCCCACCUGUCCCCUCGGGAGGGGAGCUGAGCCCGACUUCUACCGGGGUCCCCCAGCUUCCGGACUGGCCGCACCCCGGAGGAGCCACGGGGGCGCUGCUGGGAACGUGGGCGGGGGGCCGUUUCCUGACACUACCAGCCUGGGAGGCCCAGGUGUAGCGGUCCGAGGGGCCCGGUCCUGCCUGUCAGCUCCAGGUCCUGGAGCCACGUCCAGCACAGAGUGGACGGAUUCACCGUGGCCGACUCUUUUC
rnacentral:lncRNA from 10 species